rnacentral:lncRNA from 1 species
UUCAUUUUAUUUUUAUAUUAUUUAUUUAUUCUUCCUUAGUUUCUUGAGAUUAUCAUCCGCUGAGGGUGGAAGGGGAGUGAGCAGACACACUCAGGAGGUGUCUUGAGAUUAUCAUCCGCUGAGGGUGGAGCUGAGGGUGGAAGGGGAGUGAGCAGACACUCGGGAGGUGUCUUGAGAUUAUCAUCCGCUGAGGGUAGAGCUGAGGGUGGAAGGGGAGUGAGCAGACACUCGGGAGGUGUCUUGAGAUUAUCAUCCGCUGAGGGUGGAAGGGGAUAGAGCACACACUCGGAAGGUGUCUUGAGAUUAUCAUCCGCUGAGGGUGGAAGGGGAUAGAGCACACACUCGGAAGGUGUCUUGAGGCUCAGGGAGUUAUCAAUUAUAGAAUGUUGUUG